rnacentral:rRNA from 1 species
UACAGAGGGUGCGAGCGUUAAUCGGAAUUACUGGGCGUAAAGGGCGCGUAGGCGGGGAGGUAAGUCGGGUGUGAAAUCCCUCGGCCCAACUGAGGAACUGCGCCCGAGACUGCUUCUCUUGAGUCCCGGAGAGGAAGAUGGAAUUCCCGGUGUAGCGGUGAAAUGUGUAGAGAUCGGGAGGAACACCGGUGGCGAAGGCGGUCUUCUGGACGGUGACUGACGCUGAGGCGCGAAAGCGUGGGGAGCAAACGGG